rnacentral:rRNA from 1 species
AGUGAACGCUGGCGGUAGGCCUAACACAUGCAAGUCGAACGGCAGCACAGUAAGAGCUUGCUCUUACGGGUGGCGAGUGGCGGACGGGUGAGGAAUACAUCGGAAUCUACUUUUUCGUGGGGGAUAACGUAGGGAAACUUACGCUAAUACCGCAUACGACCUACGGGUGAAAGCAGGGGAUCUUCGGACCUCGCGCGAUUGAAUGAGCCGAUGUCGGAUUAGCUAGUUGGCGGGGUAAAGGCCCACCAAGGCGACGAUCCGUAGCUGGUCUGAGAGGAUGAUCAGCCACACUGGAACUGAGACACGGUCCAGACCCCUACGGGAGGCAGCAGUGGGGAAUAUUGGACAAUGGGCGCAAGCCUGAUCCAGCCAUACCGCGUGGGUGAAGAAGGCCUUCGGGUUGUAAAGCCCUUUUGUUGGGAAAGAAAAGCAGCAGGUUAAUACCCCGCUGUUCUGACGGUACCCAAAGAAUAAGCACCGACUAACUUCGUG